rnacentral:rRNA from 1 species
CCUGGUUGAUCCUGCCAGUAGUCAUACGCUUGUCUCAAAGAUUAAGCCAUGCAUGUCUAAGUAUAAACAUAUUUGUACUGUGAAACUGCGAAUGGCUCAUUAUAUCAGUUAUAGUCUAAUCGAUUGUACCUUACUACUUGGAUAACCGUAGUAAUUCUAGAGCUAAUACAUGCAUGAAUACCCAACUGCUUGUCGGGCGGGUAGCAUUUAUUAGAUUGAAACCAAUGCAGUCUUCGGACUGGUAUUGUGUUGAAUCAUAAUAACUGUGUGGAUCGUGCUUUUGCGCGAUGAAUCGAUUGAGUUUCUGCCCUAUCAGCUUUGGAUGGUAGGAUAUGGGCCUACCAUGGCAUUAACGGGUAACGGGGAAUUAGGGUUUGAUUCCGGAGAGGGAGCCUUAGAAACGGCUACCACAUCCAAGGAAGGCAGCAGGCUCGUAAAUUACCCAAUCCUGAUACAGGGAGGUAGUGACAAUAAAUAACAAUGCUCUGGCUCUUCGAGUCGGGCAAUUGGAAUGAGUACAAUUUAAAUCCCUUAACGAGGAUCAAUUGGAGGGCAAGUCUGGUUUAAUAAUAAUUUUAUUGUUUUUUAGGUGAGAAAAAGAGAUAGUGUGAGAGAAAAUCUACAAAAUGGUAUAUCGGUCGCUUCUGUACGAAAAAAGUACAAAUUGUGUGGACCACACCAAAUAUAAAGUUGGGCAGGUAAAAUGGUGGUUUGGACCAAAAACCAUAUCAAAUCUUGGAGGGUAUAAAAUUCCAGAGGUCCAUGUCAUAUCAGAGGUCUGCCUGAAGUAGCGGAAGUAACUUGUAAGUAGCCGAAGUAGUCGAAACUUGGAAGUAGUCGAAGUAGCUGUAACUUGUAAGUAACUUGAAGUAGGUAGUCGGUGGAAGUAUCAUAGGUAGGUGUGAAUCUUGCCAAAAGUUGAUGUACCAAUAGCUCAGACGGUAAGUAGGCUAUUUUCCAUGCUGUAGGUCGUGGGUUCGAUCCCCACUGAUGCACUUUACUAACCCUGUCAAAA